rnacentral:tRNA from 1 species
GCCUUCGUGGUGUAGUGGUCAGCACGCACGAUGUAACCGCGAGGUUCGUGGUUCGAUUCCCGGCGAAGGCG